CCCCUUGUGGUGUAGUUGGAUAUCACGUUCGGCUGUAAUGGUUCAUUGUUACCGAAAGGUCACCGGCUCGAUUCCGGUCGAGGGGA
rnacentral:tRNA from 1 species